rnacentral:rRNA from 1 species
UACGUAGGGGGCGAGCGUUUGUCCGGAGUACUGGGCGUAAAGCGCACGCAGGCGGUUUCGUACGUCUUGGAGUGACAGUUCCCGGCUCAACUGGGAAAGGUCUUUUGGAAACGGCGAGACUUUGAGGGCUUCAGAAGGGACACGGGAAUUCCGGGUGGAGUGGUGAAAUGCGUAGAGAUCCGGAGGAACACCAAUGGCGAAGGCAGUGUCCUGGGAAGCAUCUGACGCUCAGGUGCGAAAGCUAGGGGAGCGAACAGG